rnacentral:tRNA from 1 species
CAAAGUGUAGCUUAACCAAAGCCCCUCGCUUACACCGAGGCAUUGUCUGUUUGAACCGGAUCAUUUUGAG